rnacentral:rRNA from 1 species
GAUGAGCGCUGGCGGCGUGCCUAAUACAUGCAAGUCGAGCGAACGGACGAGAAGCUUGCUUCUCUGAUGUUAGCGGCGGACGGGUGAGUAACACGUGGAUAACCUACCUAUAAGACUGGGAUAACUUCGGGAAACCGGAGCUAAUACCGGAUAAUAUUUUGAACCGCAUGGUUCAAAAGUGAAAGACGGUCUUGCUGUCACUUAUAGAUGGAUCCGCGCUGCAUUAGCUAGUUGGUAAGGUAACGGCUUACCAAGGCAACGAUGCAUAGCCGACCCGAGAGGGGGAUCGGCCACACUGGAACUGAGACACGGUCCAGACUCCUACGGGAGGCAGCAGUAGGGAAUCUUACGCAAUGGGCGAAAGCCUGACGGAGCAACGCCGCGUGAGUGAUGAAGGUCUUCGGAUCGUAAAACUCUGUUAUUAGGGAAGAACAAAUGUGUAAGUAACUGUGCACAUCUUGACGGUACCUAAUCAGAAAGCCACGGCUAACUACGUG